rnacentral:rRNA from 1 species
AACGAACGCUGGCGGCAGGCUUAACACAUGCAAGUCGAACGCCCCGCAAGGGGAGUGGCAGACGGGUGAGUAACACGUGGGAACGUGCCCUAAGGUUCGGAACAACUCCGGGAAACUGGAGCUAAUACCGAAUGUGUCCGUAAGGAGAAAGAUUUAUCGCCUUAGGAUCGGCCCGCGUCAGAUUAGCUAGUUGGUGGGGUAAUGGCCUACCAAGGCGACGAUCUGUAGCUGGUCUGAGAGGACGACCAGCCACACUGGGACUGAGACACGGCCCAGACUCCCACGGGAGGCAGCAGUGGGGAAUCUUGGACAAUGGGCGCAAGCCUGAUCCAGCCAUGCCGCGUGGAUGAUGAAGGCCCUAGGGUUGUAAAGCUCUUUCGCAGGUGAAGAUAAUGACGGUAACCUGAGAAGAAGCCCCGGCUAACUUCGUGCCAGCCGCCGCCGUAACAC